rnacentral:rRNA from 1 species
UAGAGGAAGUAAAAGUCGUAACAAGGUCUCCGUUGGUGAACCAGCGGAGGGAUCAUUACUGAGUUUACGCUCUACAACCCUUUGUGAACAUACCUAUAACUGUUGCUUCGGCGGGUAGGGUCUCCGUGACCCUCCCGGCCUCCCGCCCCGGGCGGGUCGGCGCCCGCCGGAGGAUAACCAAACUCUGAUUUAACGACGUUUCUUCUGAGUGGUACAAGCAAAUAAUCAAAACUUUUAACAACGGAUCUCUUGGUUCUGGCAUCGAUGAAGAACGCAGCGAAAUGCGAUAAGUAAUGUGAAUUGCAGAAUUCAGUGAAUCAUCGAAUCUUUGAACGCACAUUGCGCCCGCCAGCAUUCUGGCGGGCAUGCCUGUUCGAGCGUCAUUUCAACCCUCAAGCUCUGCUUGGUGUUGGGGCCCUACAGCUGAUGUAGGCCCUCAAAGGUAGUGGCGGACCCUCCCGGAGCCUCCUUUGCGUAGUAACUUUACGUCUCGCACUGGGAUCCGGAGGGACUCUUGCCGUAAAACCCCCAAUUUUCCAAAGGUUGACCUCGGAUCAGGUAGGAAUACCCGCUGAACUUAAGCAUAUCAAUA